AUUGAACGCUGGCGGCAGGCCUAACACAUGCAAGUCGAACGAGUGGCGGACGGGUGAGUAAUGUCUGGGAAACUGCCUGAUGGAGGGGGAUAACUACUGGAAACGGUAGCUAAUACCGCAUACCAUCGGAUGUGCCCAGAUGGGAUUAGCUAGUAGGUGGGGUAAAGGCUCACCUAGGGGACGAUCCCUAGCUGGUCUGAUAGGAUGACCAGCCACACUGGACUGGUGACCCGGUCCAGCCUCCGACGGGAGGCAGCAGGGGGGAAUAUUGGCCAAUGGGCGCAAGCCUGAUGCAGCCAUGCCGCGUGUAUGAAGAAGGCCUUCGCGUUGUAAAGUACUUUCAGCGGGGAGGCGUUACCCGCAGAAGAAGCACCGGCUAACUCCGUGCCAGCAGCCGCGGUAAUUC
rnacentral:rRNA from 1 species